GAGCAGAGCUCUCCCUCUCCGGGCUGCCUCGUCCCUCUCCUCCCCCUCCGGCACCCCGAGCUCCCCGGCCCUCCCCGCCAGCCGAGGGACCCCAUCGCCGCCCGGGAUGCCCUUCCCCAGCGCCGGGAGAAAUGUGCCUCCCACCCCCCCAAGGAUCUCUCCUCCGGACUUAGAGAGGAGAGGAAAAGGCAGAUUUUGAGAAAUGAAAAUUAUUUAAGGAUGUCCCUGCUGCCUCUCUCUGCUGCCCUCCUCCGUAAUACAGAAGCACUUACAAAAAAUAAUACAAAGUAAAUAAAUAAAAAAAAAAAAAGAAGAAAUUCUCCAGCCAGAGGAACAGCAGAGAAAUAAUCGAGGACCCCUUCCAGUCCACGCGGGGAGCGAGAGAGAGGAGAAAGCUGCACAGGCCAAGCGCUCGCGGGCUGGAGCGGCCGCCGAGGACGAUCGCGGCAGCCCCGCUGCGCUCACCUGCCGGGGCAAGCCUGGAGACUAACCCGGCCCAGACCCUGCCCGGAGCUGCUUCAACCCUCCUCGCUGCGGGAUGGCAAAGGACCUGCCUUAAAAGUCCAACUAUGGCCACUUCCUCCUACUUCUAAGAACACGUGGACAGAGGAUCCCAUGAACAGCUUCAAACUAGCAAGCCAAAUCCACCACACAAAAUCCACCGUUUCCACUGCUCAAAGUUGCAACAGAAGAACUGCAAUGAACUUCCAUGAGUUCAGCUGAAACUUAUAUUCCUCAGACAGCGCAGAAUCUGGCCCUUACAUAUUUCAGAAAUGUGACUACGGGAGUAAGUCCUCAUUUGUAAUACCCAGUGGCAUCACUAUAGAGUAGCGAUUGUAAGGACCGCAUCAAAAUGUUUUUAAGCCUGUUUCCUAUCUUCUCAAAUUCUGCGGGAGUGAAGAAGAGCCUUGUCAUUGACUAGGGUUAGAUCAGGGUCAAGUUCUACACUGCAAAACCAAGAGAGAAACAGUGUUUACUCUCCAAUUUCCCAGAAAACUGUCAAAUCCCUCUUCAUAUGGAACAUCUCAUUUGUGUGUCAUUUGCAAACUUUUCCACUGGCAAACUCAUCAUGCUUCAAGAUUUUCUUCAUAUGAAAACUAAAUUUCUGUGUUAUCGAAACCAUCUCAUUUCAUAUCAAGCCUGAACCUCUACCUUUCUUCUCUUAUAUUGUUUUUCUCUAGGAUUUAUUGCAAUCUUACAUUAAGCUUUUUUUGUUUGUUUACACUAGAAAGGCAGCUUUUAAUCUCAUUUGAUUGCUCAGUGCAUCUUAAGAAACUCUUCUCCAAAUGGUCUCUGUCUCUUUCCCCAUCAAUCCCAGCUUUAGCACACAAGCCAGACCAAAAUUCACUGCAAGACUUGUGUUAAUAAGCAGAAUGGAAUAAGUGAGACCGUUUAGCACUUUACACCUUCAAAGACUCGCAUAAGCAACGAUGCUUUGGUAAUAUUCUCCCCAGUGGCUGUGCCCCAGGCAGGGAGGGGGCACAGUGCACCUGAUAGCCGCUCUGUCCAACGGCUAAUGCAUGCUCAGUACUCAACUGAUGUGGGUAAUGUGGCUCCCACUUGAGCCUUCCCUAAAAUAACAAACACAAAACACUGAAACCAGCCACCCCCAUCAAACACCCGGUAAACAGGUCAGGAGUACAAAAAACACUUUGAUGCACCGAACACGCCCUUCAUCAAAGCAUCCUGAAAGCACUUCGCAAUUAUUAAUGUGAUCCCUGAUUCAUCACCCACCCACACAGUUUUCCCUGAUUUACCAGCUGGAUAUGCAGAAAGCCCCAAAUACUGAAAGGCGUGAUUCUGAAAGAGAUGCCCGAGCAGUCACAGGUUCCCCAGAAAUCCCUGAGCGCUGUGCAUCUCACCCCACCUUGGAAAAAACACAGACCACUAGUAACUUGUCCCAUCCCAAUCGCGGUGAGUAGCAAAGCAAGGGAGAGAACCCAGGGCUCCUGCUCCGCAGCCCCACGAGUCCACAGAGCUUCAGCUCAACACACAUUGCACUGAGUAUUGCAACACACACGCCUGGCCUGGGUACACGGUCAGCAAAGGGACCUUGUGGAGAAAAUAAACAGUUUCUCUGUACUCUUCACCCCUUCAUCUCAACCUGUUUUUUUUUUUUCCCCUGACAUACCAUUAUUAAACAACAGGAACAAACUAGUUUCUGUGUAAAACCUUUCCCAAAGUAGCUAGAAGAUAGCAAGAAGUGCCAAGAUUUCCAUUUUCCUCCUUUUUCUUUCUUUUAAGGGGAAAUAACAUUGAAUUAAAAUAUUUGUAAACAGCACUAAUCAGCAUUUUAUUUUAUAGCUUUGAUUUUUUUUAGUUUAUUUUUUAAUCCAACAAAGACCACCCUCUCCCCCUAGGAAUACUAGGAGGGGACUAUGCUGAAAAUUAUAGAUUCCAGAGUUUGCAACAGAACCACAAAAGCUUAAUUAUAGUUAUUGACAUACCAAACACCCACUGAAGGCUUAAUCUUCCCUUGGCCAGAAAUAACCACACAAAGUGAAGGUAAAAAACGACAUCAAACAACCUCAGCUAGGGACAGCUUAUUAAAGCACCGAAGAUAUGCCUCGCUUGCCUCCCCAUAUCACAGCCUAAAGGAGACAGACGGGGGGGGACAGUCGCUGUCGUCCCACAAGCAGACUUUUAAGCUGGGUUUUAUCUCCCAUAAGGUAGGUUUGCCCAGGUUACCCCUUCCAAAUGUCUCGCUCCAGGACUGUGACUUCGGUAAAGGCCAAAAAGAGCUCCCAACUCUGCUGCGAGAUUCAAUGCUUGCGUUCAUCGCGACCGUGCAGUGCAUCCUCGCUGUUCCCCGAGCCCCAUCGUCCCCGGGGACCGGCGGGAGGCAGCAGCAGGAAGGGCUCUGCAGGUAGAGGUGUGACACCCACGGGAAUUAGCACACGUCUGGACUGCUCGGACGCAGUCCUUCCCCGGCCAGCCCUGUUUGCUCUCGGGCUAGGUGCUGGCAAGGCGUGAAGGGACAGCGCUUGUGGGCAGCUCGCUGCCCUCUGGGCAGACUCCCCGCCGCCAACAGCUGCGGUCAAAUCAAAGCCCGAAUGUAUAAAGCGAUGCUAAAAAGGUUAUAGAAAGUGGAAGCAGCAGCUGGGGUGUUCAGAGGGAACCUAUGGGAAGCCAGCGAGCACUGGCCCUCCUGGAGGGAUCCCAGCCUUAGGCGACUGCCACGUGGCAUCAGCAGAGCACGCUGCUAAGGGCCCAGCCCGCUCCGCAGCUAUCGGUGACUUACGGCCCAUCCUGCUGUGCUUCUCACGGGGAGCCCCACGAACUGCGAACACCAUCUUGAGACAGCCUCGGAAAGGCAGGGAAGCUCCAGAUCAGUAAAGCAAAUCAGACACAGGCAGCAGCAAGGACCUGGUCACUGCCGGAGCGAAAGGCUGAUUCAGAGCUGGAGAGACAAAGCACAAAGCUACUAGAAAUGAGCCUGCCACCAAAUAUGUUCAUUCACUUUCAUUUUAUCGGCAUGGAAAGCCCCCAUCUCCCCCCCAACCAUGAGACAGCAUUUGAAGGGAUGGAGAAGGCUGUUCAACCUCGGCUACGUUUGCCCGACAGCCUUACGAGCCCGUCACCUCCUACGGCAGUCAUGUAGCCGUGUGCGCGCAGCGGCUCUCAGCGCUCUUUACAAACAACAACGGGCUGGACCACAAAGCCCUCCCUUGACUUGGAGAGGGUGCAUUCAUGCAAAAACCCACAAGGAAGCUUUUAGGACCUGCAGGAGUAAGCAACUGACCACGGGGACACGUUUCACAUUCGCGUCUAGCACCUUGCACCUCUCCUGCGUGGCUGUUAAAGACCGUGGGCACAAAGGCCAAGGGCCAGACGUGCUCCACCCCAGGCUGCACUCAAGCGACGUAGCUACAAGGACAGCAAGCUCAGGUGGGCCAGAGUCAGCCCUGAUGCUCCUAGCCCCCACACUUUGGUUUUUUCCACCAAGUGACAUUGCCCUUGCCCUGUGCGCUGUAGAGCACGGAUGUUAUCUACGCAGCUCCAUCACUGGUCCCUUCCCAACAGCCCGCAGGUUUCAACAUCGUAUCUGUUUUGUGCAGCGGUGCUCACGUGACAAGCUUUGAUGUGAGCUGUUUCCUAGCCAAUGCACACGGUAGACAAAAAGCUUUUGUAAGAAGGGAGAGGUCUGAAUUAACCCUUUUUUGUAGUGAACUUUAUGGCUGGUACAUCCAGGAAAUUUGUCACUUAACAGCAUGGCCCAGUGCCCAGCAUAUAUCCUUGCUGACAUGUUAUUUAACAGGUGGCACAUCUGCAACCCGAGACACAGCCAAGAGGCUACAGUAGAACUUCUUUAGAAGGGAUACAGCCAAUGCUGGGCAGAGCAGAGAUCUUCCAAGGAGAAGUGUGGUGCCAACAGACACCUAGCUAUGUGGCUACAGCAAUACUCAGCACUAAUUUACAACAGCAGUGAAAGAACUCUCCUUAAAUGUGGAGCAGAGAAAGAAAACAGAAUAAAAGUCAAAUCUGAGUGGACUGGUUAUUGAAAACAGCAAUACCAUACUGAUUUGUUUCUCAUUUCCUAUGCACCAGCUUUAGUCUACUAAAUCGCUACAGAAUUCACUGGCGUUAUUCCUAAUUUUACAGUAAUUUGGGAGAAGAGGGGACAAAGGCAAGCAAACAAAUCUAAUUGCCUUCACUAUUUUGUUUAUCUGGUUUUUGUUCGGGCAAACAAAGAGGAUGUUCAGGUCCAAGCUGACUGUAGAGCCCACAGAACGCUUUUACUCAGCUGAUCUCUUUAAAAACAGUUUGCAAAUUUGGCACCCGGCAUCUUCAGCCACUACCAUUUGCAAGUACUUUCUUAUCUCCAUCUGGUCACUAUAGAAACUCUGGUGACUUCAGUUACUAUUGCUGCAGAUUAGUCAACUCGCAAAGCCCCUCCAAAAGAGCAGGAAGUCCUCCAAGAACCAAUCCCUUGGUCGUAAAAAGAACAAAGCCAGGAGCAGAUUAAUCACUAGAUGUUAUUUCCAGUGCAAAAGUCCAAGCAGAAAAGUCCCGAUUUUAAUAACAAAGUUAUACAUUCUCACCCAUCCACACCAACAGGCUUUUGUUCUUUGUGCCAGAGAAGAACACGCUGAGCAGAAAUGUAAGUAAUAUGGCAAGCUGUAUGAGGAGGGCAUGCUGGUGGAAAUAAAUAGCAGAAUAUGGACCAUGUGAACCACAGCCAACCGAUAUUGCCACAUUUGGUUGCCUUCCCUGUGUCAGCCAGCGUCUAAGAUUUCCCACUGCAGCGUGAGCCAGGCAGCAGGACUCCCAGGCAUCGCGUAUGUGUAGCCGAGGAGGAGGAGGAGAAGGAAGAGGGAGUCCAGGCGUGCAACCCCAAGCCACUGUGAUUUUUAGUCAGGAGCAAAAUACCAGCUGGUUGAACACAGGCAUGCCAAAGAAACUACAAACUGAGCUCACCUAAACCUGAAAGACACUAAAGAAAAGGUUAAGAUCACAGGAUGUGAAGGAAUCUGAUGGUGAACAGACAUGGCUAUCUCCACGUGCCUGGGAGAAGUCUGCAAGCCUGUCUCAGCGAUGCAACGUGGGAUUGGACAGAUCCCAAACAGCCACCUGAAAGAAAAAGGCUAAUUUUAAGUGUCACCUGUCCUAAAGUGCCAAAGCCAGCAGAGCAGCUUUGGGGAGCAGCCUAGACGUGAUGCUGAUGCAACGCCAGUAAACCACAGUCUUAGUCUUUGUAAAAAUAUCCUUAAAAAUACGACUUCUAAAAGACUCAGAAGCAGAAGGCAAAGAAAAGGAACCCCAAUUUUAUUAUCUUUGUCACAUUAUGGGCAUGAAUUCAGGCCACGGGGAAGCUGGCAUUGCCAAGCAUAUCCCUACCACACACCAGCACAAGGCUUCCUGACUCCCAGGUGGAAAGAGCAGCUGGGAAGCUCGGGGGAGCCUCACACAGGGCUCUGCAUGGAGCAGGUAGGACAGAUCGAUGGAGCAUGUCCUGUCCCACACUCUACCCCAGGCCUUGCUGCCAGCAGAAGCUUGCAGAGCCACUGCUUAAUAACCCGUAUCCUGAAGCCACCUGCUCCCAUUCUGGGACUCCUGAAUAAAGCUGGCCCUAAGAAAAAGCUUGGAUUCAGACUGGGUUAGUGUCUUUGCAUGCUUUUCUGACCCUUGCUGUGCCCACUGACUUGAACGCCUUUCUCAAACACCCUGUGAGGUUUUAUGAUAAUGGUUUAAUGGUUCAAGUCACAAAGCUUGAGAGUUUGGGAAUGUUUCUCAAAAGUUAGGUUACUGAUUGCAUUUGUGUUUCUAGGAACACAAUGGGCUGCCCCAUAGCACUGAAUUAAAGAUGGAUUUGGAUGAACCUGUUAGUGUCAGGUGCAGACAAGAAAAAUGGUGCCUAAGCAGUCCAGGAGUUCUUGCUCAGUAACCAUAGCUGUUAUAGUGCCUACUGUACAAGAAUUUGCCACUAAAUUUUUCCAGCUUAACUAUAAUAAAAAGGAUCUUUCGUUUUUA